AGAGUUUGAUCCUGGCUCAGAAUCAACGCUGGCGGCGUGCCUCAGACAUGCAAGUCGAACGCGAAAGUUCCCUUCGGGGAGCAAGUAGAGUGGCGCACGGGUGAGUAACACGUAGGUAAUCUACCUUCGGAUGGGGAAUAACAACCGGAAACGGUUGCUAAUACCGCAUAAUGCAGCGGCACCUAAUGGUGACAGUUGUUAAAGCGGGGGAUCGAAAGACCUCGCGUCUGAAGAGGAGCCUGCGGCGGAUUAGCUAGUUGGUGAGGUAACGGCCCACCAAGGCAACGAUCAGUAGCCGGCCUGAGAGGGCGAACGGCCACACUGGAACUGAGACACGGUCCAGACUCCUACGGGAGGCAGCAGUGGGGAAUUUUGCGCAAUGGGCGAAAGCCUGACGCAGCAACGCCGCGUGGAGGAUGAAGGCCUUCGGGUCGUAAACUCCUGUCGAUGGGGACGAAAGCCUCGCAAGAGGUUUGACUGUACCCGUUGAGGAAGCCACGGCUAACUCCGUGCCAGCAGCCGCGGUAAUACGGAGGUGGCAAGCGUUGUUCGGAAUUACUGGGCGUAAAGGGCGCGUAGGCGGCUUUACAAGUCAGAUGUGAAAGCCCCGGGCUUAACUCGGGAAUUGCAUCUGAAACUGUUUUGCUUGAGUCCUGG
rnacentral:rRNA from 1 species